AUUCAGCAGGACUUCCUGUGUACCUCCUAGAACAGAAUGACAAGGUAGGUAUUCAGCAGGACUUCCUGUGUACCUCCUAGAACAGAAUGUCAAGGUAGGUGUUCAGCAGGACUUCCUGUGUAGCUCCUAGAACAGAAUGACAAGGUAGGUGUUCAGCAGGACUUCCUGUGUAGCUCCUAGAACAGAAUGACAAGGUGGGUAUUCAGCAGGACUUCCAGUGUACCUCCUAGAACAGAAUGACAAGGUAGGUGUUCAGCAGGACUUCCAGUGUACCUCCUAGAACAGAAUGACAAGAUACUGUGAAUAUAUAGAACAUUGUUAAGUAUAUGCAUGUAUGUCUAUGUUACUGUAACCUGCAUGACUAUUACAGGUAUCAUGCAGAAUCGAAGGCUUUUAAUAAUUUUGUUUUCAUUUUUUUUGUGUGUGUGUGCUCUGUUUCUUGAUUAAUCUGAAUUAUAUAGAAAUGAUGUUACCAAGAAAAUUUCAAACAAGCUAUUAAGAAAAAACACUGAGAAAAAAGUUGUCAAUUCAGUGUGCCACCUGAGUAACUUUGUGACCUAAAUUCAGACCAAAUUCUAAAAUCGUUAAAUGAAUCCAACAGGCAAUAGAAAACUCUACUGGUCUUUUGUAAUUUGCUGUAACAUGGUAAUAAAAAAUGUUUUAAGGGAGAUAAUCCCUACGUAUGCUAGAGAGUAAUACAGUGAUUAAAUAUAUUACAUCAAGAAAUACACACUUUUCCCUAAAAGAUGUAGCUACAUAACGAUUGAUAGGAAUAUUUAUUUUGUUUCUAACAAUAAUGAUAUGAAUAUAUGCAGUAUUGUACAAAAUUUGCACAUCACAGAACAAAUAGAGGAA